rnacentral:misc_RNA from 1 species
UCUCCGUUGGUGAACCAGCGGAGGGAUCAUUACCGAGUUCCAGCAACUCCCAACCCUUGCGAACCGUACCCCAGUCUGUUCUCGUUGCUUCCGGCAGGCGGGGGUGGCCACCUGGCCCCUCCCCCUGCCGGGGGCGGCGGGCCCUCUGAACCUUUAUAACUCAACCACUGACACCCGGCUUAGCAAAACAAAAAAUAAUCAAAACUUUCAACAACGGAUCUCUUGGCUCUG